AAUCAACGCUGGCGGCGUGCCUCAGACAUGCAAGUCGUACGAUUAAAGCUCCCUUCGGAGAGUGUAUAGAGUGGCGCACGGGUGAGUAACACGUAAGUAAUCUACCUUCGAGUGGGGAAUAACAGUCGGAAACGACUGCUAAUACCGCAUAAUGCAGCGGCACCUAAUGGUGACAGUUGUUAAAGCAUUUAUGUGCUUGAAGAGGAGCUUGCGGCAGAUUAGCUAGUUGGUAAGGUAAUGGCUUACCAAGCAACGAUCUGUAGCCGACCUGAGAGGGUGGUC
rnacentral:rRNA from 1 species